rnacentral:rRNA from 1 species
GGAGCCAGCAGCCGCGGUAAUUCCAGCUCCAAUAGCGUAUAUUAAACUUGUUGCAGUUAAAAAGCUCGUAGUUGAAUUUCUGCUGUUUCGUUGACUGCGUUUGGCGUUUGUCAUCGUUGCGGCUUGGUUGGGUUUCGAUUAUUCGUUUCCCGGCGUUUACUUUGAGAAAAUUAGAGUGCUUGAAGCAGGCUUUUGCCUUGAAUACUUUAGCAUGGAAUAACGGAGUAGGACUUUGGUUCUAUUUUGUUGGUUUUAGGAGCCAGAGUAAUGGUUAAUAGGAACAGUUGGGGGCAUUCUUAUUUGACUGUC